AUGGUUGUCGUCAGCUCGUGCCGUGAGGUGUAAGGUUAAGUCCUUGAACGAGCGCAACCCACGUGGUUAUUUGCUCUUGGUCGUAAAGGCCAAGCACUAUAACCAAACCGCUACCGACGAGGUAGAGGAAGGUGGUGGAUGACGUCAAAUCAUCACGCCCCUUAUGUCCAGGGCCACACACAUGCGACAAUGGUUGGAACAAUGAGUUGCAAACCAGUAAUGGCAAGCUAAAUCUCCAACACCAGCCCCAGUACGGAUCGAGGGUUGAAACUCACCCUCGUGAAGAUGGAGUUGCUAGUAAACGCAAGUCAGCCAUAUUGCGUUGAAUACGUUCCCGGGCCUU
rnacentral:rRNA from 1 species